UACGUAGGGGGCAAGCGUUGUUCGGAAUUACUGGGCGUAAAGGGCGCGUAGGCGGCAUGGCAAGUCGGGAGUGAAAGGCCUGGGCUCACCGAGGAACUGCUUUCGAGACUGCCAAGCUAGAGUGCGGAAGGGGCAUCUGGAAUUCCCAGUGUAGCGGUGAAAUGCGUAGAUAUUGGGAAGAACACCUGAGGCGAAGGCGGGAUGCUGGGCCGACACUGACGCUGAGGCGCGAAAGCCAGGGGAGCAAACGGG
rnacentral:rRNA from 1 species